UCUGGGCCGCGUCGUGGCGGUCGCCGUCAAGGGCCGCCCCGGGGGCCGGCCUCGGUAGCGGGCGGCCUGCUCGGCCCGGCCGCCCCCAGCAGCGCCAGGCGGCCCUUGCGAGGAGCUCCUCCACGAGCUGUUCAAGCAAAGGUUUCUGUCCAUCUAACGUGGAAAAGACCCGCUCUUACUCACAUCAAACAGACUCCACCGAGAUCCGAGCGCAGCUGCGUGCUCUCUCUGGUACGCGUCCCUAUAAUUCAGGAGAUCUGUGGAGGAGAGGAAAGGCAACGAUUAAUUGAGGAGGAAAUUAACAGACUCCCUAGAGAAGUUGCGGUGCUUUAUUUCUGUGCUCAUUAUCCAGCACCUGCCACUGGAGGAGUACUUUAAACUUCCAGGAGGAUACCAUUGAAGUCUGUUUGAAUAUGACCUCCUUUGUUUUGAUAUUAAGGUGAUCUCCAUUUCAUUUCUUCAAGCAGAGGUUAAACUAAAUAUUCUUUCUGAAGUUGAACUAGAAUGUGCAAUGGGAAUGGAAAAAGUAAUGACAGUACCUUGAAUAGCAUCAGACAAUGGCUGCAUUCAAAUAAAUAUGCCUACUGCGUGCCUUUGCUUUAAAAGAUCCAGAAAAUGUAAGUUUUCUCUAUGAGAACUAAUAAAAUCAAAAAGGUACAAAAGUACCAGUAACAAAUUCUGUAAAUAACAAGGAUUGAGCAUUACCUUCUCUAAUGAUUGAACCUUUCAGAGAUCUGUAUUUGAUAAAAAAUAUGCAAAUGCAAAGCACUUAAAAUACACUUAAACCAAUGUACCCCCCUCUGACACUUAAAUUUUGAUAAAAAUCAGCGUAUUAAGAUGCUUCAAUUUAAAUUCAUCAACUUAGAGGUUGCAGCUUCGUGACUGACUUAGGCUUAUUGAAAUCUAUGCAAAUGUAACUACCCCGUUUGGUUCUGCCCUUGCUCCAUCACUUGGUACAACAGCUAGCACUUGCAUCCAUGGACAAGCGUAGAAAAUACAAGUAAAAUUUACCUAAUCUCUGAGGUGGCUGGCUGAGCCAUAUUAGUAUGUUGCUGCAUCUUAGCUGAUAAUACUGCCUACAGUGUCCUCUCCCAACUUACCUUCCAC